CCCCCCCCCCCCUUCGACGAUCGCGGCCGGUCCGAUCGCAAAUCCCCCCCCCCCCCCCCCCCACUGUCACAUGUGUGUGUGUGUGUCUGUGGGGGGGGGGAUUUGCGAUCGGACCGGCCGCGAUCGUCGAACGGGGGUGGGGGC